GACGAACGCUGGCGGCGUGCUUAACACAUGCGAGUCGUACGGUAAGGCCCUUUCGGGGGUACACGAGUGGCGAACGGGUGAGUAACACGUGAGUAACCUGCCCACAACUUUGGGAUAACGCUAGGAAACUGGUGCUAAUACUGGAUAUGUGCUCCUGCUGCAUGGUGGGGGUUGGAAAGCUCCGGCGGUUGUGGAUGGACUCGCGGCCUAUCAGCUUGUUGGUGGGGGAGUGGCCUACCAAGGCGGCGACGGGUAGCCGGCCUGAGAGGGUGACCGGCCACAUUGGGACUGAGAUACGGCCCAGACACCUACGGGGGGCAGCAGUGGGGAAUAUUGCACUAUGGGCGCAAGCCUGAUGCAGCAACGCCGCGUGCGGGAUAACUGCCUUCGGGUUGUAGACCGCUUUCAGCAGGGACGAAGCUUUUUGUGACGGUACCUGCAGAAGAAGCACCGGCUAACUACGUG
rnacentral:rRNA from 1 species